GGUUCGAUCCUGGCUCAGAUUGAACGCUGGCGUGGAUGCUUUACACAUGCAAGUCGAACGGCAGCACGGACUUCGGUCUGGUGGCGAGUGGCGAACGGGUGAGUAAUGUAUCGGAACGUGCCUAGUAGCGGGGGAUAACUACGCGAAAGGUAGCUAAUACCGCAUACGCCCUUCGGGGGAAAGCGGGGGACCUUCGGGCCUCGCACUAUUGAGCGGCCGAUAUCGGAUUAGCUAGUUGGUGGGGUAACGGCUCACCAAGGCGACGAUCCGUAGCUGGUUUGAGGAGACGACCAGCCACACUGACCGAGACACGGCCCAGACUCCUACGGGAGGCGCAGUGGGGAAUUUUGAAUGGGGGAAACCCUGAUCCAGCCAUCCCGCGUGUGCGAUGAAGGCCUUCGGGUUGUGAAGCACUUUUGGCAGGAAAGAAACGGGCACGGGACAAUACCCCGUGCAACUGACGGUACCUGCAGAAUAAGCACCGGCUAACCACGCCAGCAGCCGCGGUAAUACGUAGGGUGCAAGCGUUAAUCGGAAUUACUGGGCGUAAAAGCGUGCGCAGGCGGUUCGGAAAGAAAGAUGUGAAAUCCCAGAGCUUAACUUUGGAACUGCAUUUUUAACUACCGAGUCAGAGUGUGUCAGGGAGGGAGGUGGAAUUCCGCGUAGCAGUGAAAUGCGUAGAUAUGCGGAGGAACACCGAUGGCGAAGGCAGCCUCCUGGGAUAACACUGACGCUCAUGCACGAAAGCGUGGGGAAAGCAAACAGGAUUAGAUACCCUAAGUAGUCCACGCCCUAAACGAUGUCAACUAGCUGUUGGGGCCUUCGCCUUGGUAGCGCAGCUAACGUGUGAAGUUGACCGCCUGGGGAGUACGGUCGCAAGAUUAAAACUCAAAGGAAUUGACGGGACCCGCACAAGCGGUGGAUGAUGUGGAUUAAUUCGAUGCAACGCGAAAACCUUACCUACCCUUGACAUGUCUGGAAUCCCGAAGAGAUUUGGGAGUGCUCGCAAGAGAACCGGAACACAGGUGCCGUAUGGCUGUCGUCAGCUCGUGUCGUGAGAUGUUGGGUUAAGUCCCGCAACGAGCGCAACCCUUUGUCAUUAGUUGCUACGAAAGGGCACUCUAAUGAGACUGCCGGUGACAAACCGAGGAAGGGUGGGGAUGACGUCAAGUCCUCAUGGCCCUUAUGGGUAGGGCUUCACACGUCAUACAAUGGUCGGGACAGAGGGUCGCCAACCCGCGAGGGGGAGCCAAUCCCAGAAACCCGAUCGUAGUCCGGAUCGCAGUCUGCAACUCGACUGCGUGAAGUCGGAAUCGCUAGUAAUCGCGGAUCAGCAUGUCGCGGUGAAUACGUUCCCGGGUCUUGUACACACCGCCCGUCACACCAUGGAGUGGGUUUACCAGAAGUAGUUAGCCUAACCAAGGAGGGCGAUUACCACGGUAGGAUUCAUGACUGGGGUGAAGUCGUAACAAGGUAG
rnacentral:rRNA from 1 species